AAAAAAAAAAAAAAAAAAAAAAACAAAAAAAAAAAAAAAAAGAAAGAAACGAACUGUUGCAACGAGUGUCCCGGAAAUUUUGGUUGACAUUUUUUUCCGGACACGCGCAAAGUGAGUUUCACGGUGCUUCGUGGGGGCUUCUUCCGUUUCGUUUCCGUUUUGUCUCCUUGCACACUUUCUUCUUCUUCUAGUGGUCGACGCGUAAACGAGAUGUUCUUCGAAAAGCUACCGCCGCUUUUCGCAUUUUUUAACAAAAUACACAAAGUUCGCACGGUCAUAUAUAUAAAUAUAUAUAUAUAUAUACAUAACGAAUAUGAGAUGGAUCACAGAAUGGUGUUAUCUAGGUGUGUGUUCAAUCGUCUGUGUUCCGUGAACAGACACGAACCCUUUUUUUCGAAAGGUUUACCCUGACGAACGAAAUAAGUUGUUUGGUCGUGUUCUUCCGUUCCCUUUUCUUCGUCUAGUUUGCUUUCUCGAAAAAUACUUGUUUUGAAAGAGGACAUCAAAAAAGUAAAAUAAAAUAAAUAAAUAUAUAAAUCGAGUCCGUUUUCUUGGACUUUCCCAAAAGAGUAAAUGAAAUUUACUUAAAGAAUCUUUCGAUGGAUCAUUCCGUUUGUCAUUUCUCUCGUAUUAUCCUUGAUCGUUUCUUCUUUGUUGUUUUCAAAAAAUUGUGUCACGGUAUCGAGGAAAAACGACUUGGUCGAUUAUAGAUGGAAACUGGUCGAGUCUCGUGAUCCAUGUGUGUUUAAAUAAUUUAUAUUUUGCCGGAGAUAUAUAAUACUUGGUUUAGAACAGGGGGGAAGAUAGAACAAUUCCUUUUCACGUAUAUUUCAAUGCGUUUAAAUGUAAAUCGAGAGACGGAAAGACUGUCGGUAAAUCAAUUGCUCAUACCGGAAACGCGAUAUAUAAAUUAUUUAAAAAAUAGUGGCAACGAGAGAGAAGAUAAUCGUCGUACGAGCUCUGUAUAGAAUCAAAGAUCUUAAAUGCACGUUACUCCGGAACGGGUCAACCCUCUUGAUCGCGUCUUGGAUCCCGCCAGUAUUAUACGCCUCUCCAAUACAUCCUCCAUCCGAGAUAUAGAAAUCAGCGUUAAGAUAUCGUACAAAAGAAAAAAAAAAAAAAAUAUAUCACGCGAUUAUAAUUCGUUAAGUGAAUUUAAUAAAGAUAAAUUCAGCAUGAAAGAAAUAAAAUAGAAAAUAUUGAUAUUUUCGCGUGCUGGAUCGAUAUCUAAAAAAACUAAUCGAAUCUCUCUUAUCGACACACACUCUGUACUAUGGAUAGAAUUUUAAAGAAAAAAAAAGAAAAAAAAAAACGGAAAAAAAAACGGAAAAAAAAAAGAAAAAAAAACCAGACGACAAUCAAAGGUUUGAUCUUUGACCGCGUAUCAUAAUCGAUCGCGUGUUUCCGCGAGGGCAUCGAUCAUCGCACAAGAGCGCACAUUGUGAAAAAUAGCGAGUGGAAGCGUGUAAUAGGAUGGUUAAACGCGAACAGAGGAAAUUAGUGGUAAAGUUUAAGGCAGCUUUUAAGUUUCGAAAGGUAGAGGGGGAGAAGACGAUUUUUAAAACAAAGAGAGAGAGAAAGGGAGAGAGAGCGUACAAGGAAACAAGAGAGCAAGAGAGAAAAGAGAGAAUGAGCGCGAGGGAUGAAUGAUGUAGAGACAUGAGAAAAGUUGGUAUUGGUGAAAUUUCAGUAAUUAUAUUAUGAAGAACGAUGAUAAAUGACAGAUGAUCAAUUGAAGCGAUGAUUACGGUUGUGAUCGUAACCAAUGAUGAAUAAGGCAACAACGGUAGGCGCAAUAUGUUCCCAAAAAAAGGAGAAAAAAAAAAAAACGAUUUAGAAUAUAAAGAGAAAGAGAGAGAAUGUAAGAGAGAGAAAGA
rnacentral:lncRNA from 1 species